GAUGAGAAUAAAAUAAUGUAUAAAUAUAAUAAACAUGCAAUAUACACAAGUAAUAUGAUAAAACAAUAAUAAUAAGAAUCGGCCUAAAUUUGCCUAUCGUCAAUAAUAUACAAUAUAAAUAAGAAUAUAAUUCAAACCUAAUUCAAAUAACUUCAAUAGGAAGCACCUCCGGGUACCUGUAAAGACACUUAGUAAAAGUGUUAGUUAUAAAUAAAUAUGAAUCAAAAUUAAUUUAAAAAUAAAUAUCCGUCUUAUUAACAUGGGAGACCUUGGAAAUCGACGGCAAUUUUUUCAUCGACCAAUUUUAACAUAAAACUUAUAUAAACUUAAACUAAAUUUCCGUCUUUUGAAAUGUGGAGGCCUCCAAAAUCGACGAAGAGAUUUUUUCAUUGGCCAUCAAUUUUUUCAUCGACCAAUUUUAACAUAAAACUUAUAUAAACUUCAAAAUUAAUUUAAAAAUAAAUAUCCGUCUUAUUAACAUGGGAGACCUUGGAAAUCGACGGCAAUUUUUCAUCGACCAAUUUUAACAUAAAACUUAUAUAAACUUAAACUAAAUUUCCGUCUUUUGAAAUGUGGAGGCCUCCAAAAUCGACGAAGAGAUUUUUCAUUGGCCAUUUUUAAUCAAACAAAGAAAUAUGAACUUAACUAAAAUUUUCCGUCUUUUUACAAUGUGGAGGCCUCCAAAACCGACGGAGAGAUUUUCUCAUUGGCCAAAUUUAACUUGUCUUUCAAUAUCAUAUGGAACCAAUAAUAUAUAUAUAUAUAUAUAUAUAGAUAUAUAAAACAAUAGCAGCACAACAAUCCUAUAAAGCUAACAAGAACAAAAUAAAGUAAUAUGCAACAUUUAAAUAAUACUAAUUAACAUAACAACAUGAGUAAUGAAAUAAAAAUAAAAUAACCACUAGCAACAUAACCGGUAACAACAAAAACAAUAUAAAGAAAUAAAUAAAAUUUAACACUGCCUAACUUUAUAGUCAAAAUAAUGGUAACAUAAUAAUAAAUAAAUAAAGUUGAAUAACAUUAGAUAAAACCAAAUUAUAAUUAAAUGCAGCCAAAUAAAGUCAAAACAUUAUAAAUAUAGAUCUGAAAAGAAAAUAUAUUAACAAAUAAUUUGGAGUUUAGCGACUCCCACUGGCGAUGACAAAGCAACACAAAAUUAAGGCUAACUAAAUAUGAUAGCUAACUAGUUAAUUUUGACGCAAUAACAAUAGCAAAAUAACCAAUGGAAAACCAAGCAACAGUGAUAAUAUAAUAAUAAAAACAAAUUAAUUAACAACAACAACAUCGAAACAACAACGAUAAAAUAUCUAAGCUAUAACAGACUUUAUCUAUUAACCAUAAUAAAUAAUUAAAACUAAUAAAAUAAUAAUAAAUAACAACAAUUGUAGCAAGAUAUCUAAAGCCAUAUCUAUGAACAGAAAGAAAUAAAGCAAUAGAAAUAGCUAAAUAAAUCAAAGAUACCAGAGAGAAUAAAAUCAACAGAAAAACACCACUUAACACAAUAAGCAAAAACUAAACCAACGUAAUAAGAAUAUAAGCAACAAACAAGGAACAGUAAUUAAUAAUAAAGAGCAAAGCAACCCAAGUAUCAAGCAAUAUUUAGAACAAAAAUUAGACUAAGAGGAACCUGACUAGCGGAGCUCAGUGUUGUCUUCAUUGUUGCUCCGAUUUGUGGUGAGAUCCAGUUAAGUGGAAAUUUAGCCGGAGUUCGUCAAAGUUGAGACGGAACACACAUAAACAAACAAAAAUCGUAAAGGAUAAAAGGUGGAAGGACUGGUCGUCGUUUUGGUGUCAUUUCCGGUGAACUAAAAAGGGAGAAAAACAAAGAGGGGUUUGGUCUGGUUUCGCCGGAAAUGGCGUUGGGUUGUUUGAUGGUUCUUCACGAUGGGGUUCUAGUGGGUCUGGUGGCUGUUUGGGUGGUUUGGAGUCGGGGUUUUUGUGUUUCGGGCGGCUGGUUGUGUGGUCUGGUGGCGUGAAGAGGGUGGUGGUUUGUUGUUUUCCGGCGUGGGUUUUUAGUGGAGAAGAUGGGAGCUGCUGUUUGGAUGGUGGUCGUUUGGUGGUGGCGGCAGUUAGAAAAAAUAUGAGAGCCAAGAAUUCUUAG
rnacentral:lncRNA from 1 species